rnacentral:rRNA from 1 species
AGAGUUUGAUCAUGGCUCAGAACGUACGCUGGCGGCACGCCUAACACAUGCAAGUCGAACGAAGUAGCAAUACUUAGUGGCAGACGGGUGAGUAACAUGUGGGUAUCUACCCUUUGGCCUGGAAUAACACGAGGAAACUUGUGCUAAUACCGGAUAAGUCUUUACGGAGAAAGCUUUAUGCACCAUUGGAUGAGCCCGCACUUGAUUAGUUUGUUGGUAGGGUAAUGGCCUACCAAGACUAUGAUCAAUAGCUGAUUUGAGAGGAUGAUCAGCCACAUUGGGACUGAGACACGGCCCAAACUCCUACGGGAGGCAGCAGUGGGGAAUCUUGCACAAUGGAGGAAACUCUGAUGCAGCGAUGCCGCGUGAGUGAAGAAGGCCUUUGGGUUGUAAAGCUCUUUCGUCGGGGAAGAAAAUGACUGUACCCGAAUAAGAAGGUCCGGCUAACUUCGUGCCAGCAGCCGCGGUAAUACGAAGGGACCUAGCGUAGUUCGGAAUUACUGGGCUUAAAGAGUUCGUAGGUGGUUGAAAAAGUUGGUGGUGAAAUCCCAGAGCUUAACUCUGGAACUGCCAUCAAAACUUUUCAGCUAGAGUAUGAUAGAGGAAAGCAGAAUUUCUAGUGUAGAGGUGAAAUUCGUAGAUAUUAGAAAGAAUACCAAUUGCGAAGGCAGCUUUCUGGAUCAUUACUGACACUGAGGAACGAAAGCAUGGGUAGCGAAGAGGAUUAGAUACCCUCGUAGUCCAUGCCGUAAACGAUGUGUGUUAGACGUUGGAAAUUUAUUUUCAGUGUCGCAGGGAAACCGAUAAACACACCGCCUGGGGAGUACGACCGCAAGGUUAAAACUCAAAUGAAUUGACGGGGACCCGCACAAGUAGUGGAGCAUGUGGUUUAAUUCGAAGAUACGCGCAGAACCUUACCAACACUUGACAUGUUCGUCGCGCUGUCUCUUAUACAC